CCUUUUCUUUCCGAGGAAAAUGGACAGCAAAGCACAGGGCUCAGCACUCAAACUGUAUAGGUUUCCGCAUUUUGAGGGACAACUACAACUACGGCUUAUCCAUAAAGCAAAGCAAGGGCCAGGAGAUUGAUAGUUGAACCUGGCUGAAGUCAGUGUUGUGUUCAACUCCGCGGGUUGGCUGGUUGGAAGGAUUGCUUUAGGCCGU
rnacentral:lncRNA from 1 species